ensembl:lncRNA
GAACACCUGGAGUCUCACUGUGCUUCCUCUCCAAGCUCGUGCAGACGUUCACAUCUGUAUGAGGAUAGUCUCUGUUGGUAAACGGCGCUGAGCAUAAUGCUGUCUGGAAGAAGAGCCAGUGCUUCACGAAUAUCUUACACUGGCAGUCAUUAAGGGGCGACUGCUAUUAAGCUCGUAAACACUGGACACCUCAACUGUCCAAUUUGGGUGAGUCUGUGCCCAUAAUAGCCUCAGAUUCAUGUUCUUGGCUGACAGGAAUGGAACCUGACGUGGUCUUCUGCAGUUGUAAUUCAUGCACCUCAAGAUGCCUGCAGAUGACUACAUCUGGAAGCUAUUAGCUGGAAAACACAAUUGGAGCACAGCAUGAAGCCUUUCCUAGUCCAAGUUCAAAUUUGAUUACAAUACCAAAGAAAAUUAAUAAUUUACACAUGUUUUUCUAAGGAAUUUCAUUGGCUAUACAAUAAGCCAGUCAUCCACACCAUCGGUUGCAACAUGCUCAAACUUUUCAGUAAGGAAAGGGGGGAGGCACUUCCCUUCAGCAUGGACUCAUUGGCUAUUGAAGGCUACAGACAGGACAGGGAAGCUCCUAUUUGUUCAACUGAGAUGUCAAUCACAAGGGCAGAGUCCAGCGGUCAUUAUGAACUCAAGUAACAAAGGAUAUUCACAAACGAACCGAAGUUAUAUUGGA